CUUUUGCUGGUUUGGUGGGGGGUGAGAGGAAGUUGUGUUGUAGGAGCUGUUAUUCCUUCUGGAAAAUGGAGGUGUGUUCUCAUUAGUUCAAGGCUUUUGCAGAGUGCACUAAUGGAACCCGUUGAUGCAAGGGCUUUUUCUCCUUCCUCAAACUACAUUCAUGGCAAAAUUCUGCAUCCUCUCCGACUUCCCGGCAUCUUCUCAGACAAGGAAAAACUGGUUGUGUGUGCUGCCUUAGCCGUGGUGUCAGACGUGUCCUAGCAAACGCUCCUCUUAAACAGCGAGAGGCAGAGCCAUGCGACAGCUUUAUGGCAAGUAGUUUAAGGCACAGCAUAUGUAAAACACAUUUCAAGAAUCCUUUAAGGACCCAAAAUUGGAUCCUUCCGCUGGUGACAGCUCCCGAGCGUUCCCACAGAACAUCCCUUCAGGAGAAGAACUUGCUUGGAGCAUUUGGCCCGUCUGCGAGCUCAGUGUUUGGGUGCUGUGGCUGUGACUGACUUAGCAGGGUAAGCUUUACCCUCUGCAGAAAUGCCAACACGCAGACUGUGCCGCAUAGGCUCUAAUUUGGUAGCUAAAAUGAGAGAGGCUGGGAAGAGACCAUUAUACGGCUUAAUUUUAUAUGUUAAAGGCUCUAAAAUGUGGGUGCAUUGGAGGGUUUUGGAGAGGUUUCUUAGGAAGUGGGUGAAAAGCAAGGGAUGCAGAUGAAUGUAAGAUCUAACUAGGAAUAUCUUCUGAGGGAAGUUAACAACAGACAAAUGACAUAACUGCUCUUGCUUCAUACCCUUCCAGGAUUCAUCCCUGUAUCAGAAUUGUAUUGUAACUUUCAGGCCUCAUUUAGGUCUUUUGAAGUUUGGCACGAAUCCCUUCUUUUCCCUCAGUGGGCCGGGCUGGGCUGUCAUGUUGGCUAAUAAUUUAUACAUCAGGGAUGCACCAAUGUGACUUCCCACUGCAGAUACGCUUCUCCAAGUGACACAGUCUUUUGAGCAUUUAAGGUCUGUAUUAACGCUGGGCAGUUUUCCCAGUGGCCGCCAAAGGAUUUAGAAGUGCCAGACACACCAUUUUUCAGGGGCACUUGUGCUUCUAACUUCUUUCAGUGCUUUUUUCAGAGCUUUGCAGCAGCACACUCCCAUCGUGGAACAGGAGCGAAGUGACUCCGCUGAAAGGAAGGCAGAAUCGAGCAGCUUGUCGUUGUACAAAACAAGCGCGGAAAUUAGGAGAGGUUUUCAGGACAGUAUCAAGCAAAGACAAAUGCUUCUGUCACACUGGGCAAGGUGCCUGUUCCUGGAGAUGCUCUGGGUUUUGAGAAGCUUCUGAUUUCUCUUGCCUGCUCUGCAAGCCCCAGGGGACUGCGUGUCAUGCUGCAGCACUGCUUGCUGAGACGGAGCCUCCACCACUUUCCGCUGCUGCUGUCUGUUUGGCAGCAUCUCUGGGAGCCAGGUUUGGGUUGUGCAUCGGAGCCACAGAACGGGAUCCCUGGGAAGAGCCCCUUCUGGGAGAAACAGCCCGGCCCUGCAUCCUUGUAACAGCAUUUCAUCAUCAGUUAGGGUCUCUGCAUGUUUCUGCACUCACGUCCCUGCAUGCUCACACAUAACACAGGCAAACAAUGUUUGCUGCCACUCGUUUCGUUCUUCCCAGCCUCUGAAGCAGGUUGUGAACACCUCCACGGGUCCUGGCUCACUGGGAGCCGUCUGUUUACCCCAUUACUUUGUCAGUGGCAGAUCCCGUGGCCUGAGCCGAACCUGUGCUGUUUGUUUUCAUGCCGGGAGGAAAAGACAAAUCACUGAACAAAAUGGUCCCCUUUGGGAGGCGGCAUGAUGUGCUUUCAGCUCAGAUGGUUGAUAGGACAAGCCAGAAGCUGCAUCGUACAGGCUCACGGGAGGCAGAAUUUGACCUCUGAAGGAAGUAUUCCACACACCCACCACUCCCUUCUGCUAGGUGAUCUGUGAGCACAGCCCAGAAUGCCUCUCCUCUGUGCUGGGAAAGCACCGUGUCACUCACAUUAGGAGUCUCUUAGUAGGCUAUUUCUUCCCUGACUGCAUCCAGGGAAUCUGCACUGAGUUCCCCUCAUGGCUUGGCUCCUUGUCUGUUCGUGCAUUUUCUUUGUAGGGGGUGGUCGUUUCCUCUUGCCCAUCUCAGCCUUUGCUGCUCCCAGAACUGGCCAGGUACUUUGCUGCUGAAUAUACUCUGCAAAAUUCCUCGGCAAGAAACGCACAGAUUUUUCUUCUUCACCCGUAUCAUAUACUCUGAAAUUCACACCCAGGUGACAUACGGGAAAGAGUGAGCUCUGCUAUCGAGUGAGAGCAUUGAUUGAGAGUUUUGGCACCGAAUGCUGUGAAGUAAUUACCAGCGUGAGGCAAGCAAGCUUGCUCGUGCUACCUCCAUGCAAGCAUACACCUGCAAAUCCAGAGUUAACACACACACAGAAACAAUGGCACCUUGUUGAUGCAGAGCAAAUUGCUCCAAAUGGCAUGCACAAUCUGUGUGCUUCUGAAACCAGGCUUACUGGAAAAAAAAAAAAAAAAGACAAAUUAUGUAAGCAACUUUCAGCUAUUUAAGUGCACAAUCCAGCUUGAGAACUCAUUAGCAGAUCGCGGAGUGCAAUUUACAUGCACUGCCACAGCCAACAGCUACCCAAGCAGCCUAGAGAGAACGACACUGCAGAAGGAAACUUUGAGGUUCGGCGAUGUCUCACCAUGGAUGGCUCUGAGCCAGGAAACGCACAGCCACCUACUGUGACACAGAAACCUGCCGGAGCUUUUGGGAAAGGAGGAGGACCAAACAAAUCCCCCUUCAUCAAGUAUCUUCCCAAUGACACUCGCAGGCUGCUGGGCUCACAGCUAAGGUUCCCCUUUGCCUACCUCAACCUGAGUGCCAUGCGUGGGUGCAGCUCACAGCCCAUGCACUGCACAAAAUCCAGUGGCACUACUACUCUACCUUUUUUUUUUCUUUUUCUUAUUUUCUAGGGCAGGUGGAGAAAUUCUUCUCUUGAUACCUUCUCAUCCACUCAGUGGGGAGAUGUGGGACUUUGUCUCCUCCUCCCCUAAGAGCCCCGAAACCCAAAUUUCCACCUCAUUGGAGAGAAUGCAAUCUUGGCGCUCUGAUCUCUUCUGGAGAAGAUGGAGCAAUCCCUGCCCUUCUGCAUAAGCAGUGCUUUUAAUAGCUGAGAUUCCUUGGAUAUCACAGGGAAAGAAAGCUCACCUGACUCACUCUUCCCUCUAGGGAGUGGGAUGUUCCCCAAGGAGUAGGAACUGGGAUUAGCUACAGGAUUUCAGUGUAAUCACAUGCUCUGACCCUAACCACUGGAUCACCGUUGCCCUCACGCAGACGCUUCUCCUAUAGUUACACCCAGCCUGGACUUUUUAGUCAUGCUACAAUUCACCACCACUGAGCUGAUCAAAUUAUCACAGUGUCUGGUUUACAAUAUCACUGAUUAAGUCACAGAGGAGGAAGCUAAUUAUAGAGGAGCAUGCUAUUUACACACAGAGAUGCUGUAGCAAGCUCUGCGGGAGGCAGAUGGAAGUAUGCUGAAAGAAGAAAGGGCACACGACAGCAAAACACAACUUUUGUGGGAACGCCAGAGCCUCUCCUCCUCCUCGUCAGGCAUUUCUUGAGGAUGGUGGUCUGAGGAGCUCUUGGAGUUGGAGGGCAGAGCUCCAAGAGGCCACGUUAAUUUUAUUACUGGGUCUGUGACCAUUACUCUACAGACUAGAAUAGCUCAAACGUGUCUUUUAAUGUCAACCUAUCAGCAUAUCCUUCCUUGGACAAGCAUUACAUAAUUACACU